GUGUUGUAUGAAAGGAAAAGGCUAGCAGGCUAGCACUCCUCUAAACAAGAAUGGAAGAGGUACUCAGCUUGACAACAUGCAUAUGGUUAAGGCAUUGCUAUCUACUUCAUGGCCUCUAACCAUCAUUUUUU